GACGAACGCUGGCGGCGUGCCUAAUACAUGCAAGUUGAGCGCUGUAGGUUGGUACUUGUACCAACUGGGUGAGCAGCGAACGGGUGAGUAACGCGUGGGGAAUCUGCCUUUGAGCGGGGGACAACAUUUGGAAACGAAUGCUAAUACCGCAUAAAAACUUUAAACACAAGUUUUAAGUUUGAAAGAUGCAAUUGCAUCACUCAAAGAUGAUCCCGCGUUGUAUUAGCUAGUUGGUGAGGUAAAGGCUCACCAAGGCGAUGAUACAUAGCCGACCUGAGAGGGUGAUCGGCCACAUUGGGACUGAGACACGGCCCAAACUCCUACGGGAGGCAGCAGUAGGGAAUCUUCGGCAAUGGACGAAAGUCUGACCGAGCAACGCCGCGUGAGUGAAGAAGGUUUUCGGAUCGUAAAACUCUGUUGGUAGAGAAGAACGUUGGUGAGAGUGGAAAGCUCAUCAAGUGACGGUAACUACCCAGAAAGGGACGGCUAACUACGUG
rnacentral:rRNA from 1 species